GUCUGGGUGGCUCAGUUGGUUAAGCGUCUGACUUCGGCUCAGGUCAUGAUCUCGCGGUCCGUGGGUUCGAGCCCCGCGUCAGGCU
rnacentral:tRNA from 1 species